CGUAACAAGGUUUCCGUAGGUGAACCUGCGGAAGGAUCAU
rnacentral:ncRNA from 5 species